AUUAUCCUCAUAAGUUUGACGAUAAGAGGAGCCAGAAAACUACAAUAUAAUUAGGCUAUUGGAGUAAAAUCAGCCUGUCGUAUAAUACCCUUUAAGGGAUACGGCUACCAGCCAUGGGAAAUUAGUGGGUAUCUAUCCAUUAUUUGUAUAAUCUGGUGUCACAGAAUCGGAGGCCUCGACUGUUUACUAAAAACACAAGAAUGUGCAAUGAAAAAAAUCAUAGUAUACGUUCUGAAAUUUGCUCGAUGCCAUUAACAUAAGAGAGGUAAUAGGUAACUGUUACUAAUUGAAAGUCUGGUUAAUAGCGGUCUUAACUAUGAGGAUCCAAAGGUAGCGUAAUCCAUUGGCCAUUAAAUGUGGUCCGGCAUCAAUAAUGUAACGAAGGUCUCACUGUCUCUACAACUUGCUCAGUGAAAUUGAAUUACCCGUGCAGAUGCGGGGUCACCCCCAGUGGGACGGGAAGACCCUAUGCAGCUUCUACUG
rnacentral:rRNA from 1 species